rnacentral:misc_RNA from 1 species
UACAGAGGUCCCAAGCGUUGUUCGGAUUCACUGGGCGUAAAGGGUGCGUAGGUGGCGAGGUAAGUUUGAUGUGAAAUCUCCGAGCUCAACUCGGAAAAGGCAUUGAAUACUAUCUUGCUUGAGGGUCGGAGGGGAGACUGGAAUUCUCGGUGUAGCAGUGAAAUGCGUAGAUAUCGAGAGGAACACCGGUGGCGAAGGCGAGUCUCUGGACGACAACUGACACUGAGGCACGAAAGCUAGGGGAGCAAACAGG